UGGGGAAUAUUGGACAAUGGGCGAAAGCCUGAUCCAGCCAUGCCGCGUGUGUGAAGAAGGUCUUCGGAUUGUAAAGCACUUUAAGUUGGGAGGAAGGGCAGUAAGCGAAUACCUUGCUGUUUUGACGUUACCGACAGAAUAAGCACCGGCUAACUCUGUGCCAGCAGCCGCGGUAAUACAGAGGGUGCAAGCGUUAAUCGGAAUUACUGGGCGUAAAGCGCGCGUAGGUGGUUCGUUAAGUUGAAUGUGAAAGCCCCGGGCUCAACCUGGGAACUGCAUCCAAAACUGGCGAGCUAGAGUAGGGCAGAGGGUGGUGGAAUUCCCUGUGUAGCGGUGAAAUGCGUAGAUAUAGGGAGGAACACCAGUGGCGAAGGCGACCACCUGGGCUCAUACUGACACUGAGGUGCGAAAGCGUGGGGAGCAAACAGG
rnacentral:rRNA from 1 species